rnacentral:misc_RNA from 1 species
CCUUUUGUAGUCUUUAUUGACUAUGUCUGGGGCUGGCUUGUUUCCCAAAAGGAACCUGCCGCUCUGACUACAUCCUUGUCUAUCGCGUACUACUUGUUUCCUCGGUGGGCUUGCUCACCGAUUGGACAUAAUUAAACUCUUUUGUAAUUGCAAUCAGCGUCUGAAAAAACUAUAAUAGUUA